AUUGUUAGAGCUAUUGGAUAAACAGUUCGCAUGAAAACCAGUGUAAUAGUAUAACAUGAAGCCCAUUUAGUCAUUUCACACAUAACCCAUUUGGUCAUUAAAUUUUAACAUCGUUUUCCACUAGUGCAAACAAAACUCAACCCUAACCCUAAUCCCAAAUCUUUAACCACCAAAACCAUAGAGAGUCCUCCCCUGCCUCUUCAAGGCAUAUACAACAUCCAUGGCAGUAACGGUCUUGCGACGAGCAUGUUCGGUG
rnacentral:misc_RNA from 1 species